AGAGUUUGAUCCUGGCUCAGGAUGAACGCUAGCGGCAGGCUUAAUACAUGCAAGUCGUGGGGCAGCAUGGUGUAGCAAUACACUGAUGGCGACCGGCAAACGGGUGCGGAACACGUACGCAACCUUCCUUUAACUGGAGAAUAGCCCGGGGAAACCCGGAUUAAUACUCCGUAACAUUAUGAAGUGGCAUCACUUUAUAAUUAUAGCUCCGGCGGUUGAAGAUGGGCGUGCGUCUGAUUAGGUAGUUGGCGGGGUAACGGCCCACCAAGCCUACGAUCAGUAACUGGUGUGAGAGCACGACCAGUCACACGGGCACUGAGACACGGGCCCGACUCCUACGGGAGGCAGCAGUAAGGAAUAUUGGUCAAUGGACGCAAGUCUGAACCAGCCAUGCCGCGUGGAGGAUGAAGGUCCUCUGGAUUGUAAACUUCUUUUAUUUGGGAAGAAACCCCCGAUUUCUAUUGGGGUGACGUACCAGA
rnacentral:rRNA from 1 species